UUCCUGAGACCUUAACUUGUGACA
rnacentral:miRNA from 1 species